AAGGAUCAUUAUCGUACAAAAUGUGUGAGGCAUGCGAGGGCUGUCGCUGGCUUUUGACACAAAAGUCGUGCACGCCGGAGUGUGUCCUCUCACAUAAAAUCCAUCUCACCCUUUUGUGCACCACCGCGUGGGCACCCUUCGGGAUCAAACCGAUCCGGGAGGGGGCUUGCGUUUUCAUACAAACCCCCUUUUAAAAAAGUGUAGAAUGACCCCAUUUUUGCGAUAACACGCAAUCAAUACAACUUUCAACAACGGAUCUCUUGGCUCUCGCAUCGAUGAAGAACGCAGCGAAAUGCGAUACGUAAUGUGAAUUGCAGAAUUCAGUGAAUCAUCGAAUCUUUGAACGCACCUUGCGCCCCUUGGUAUUCCGAGGGGCACACCCGUUUGAGUGUCGUGAAAAUCUCAACCUCCUCGGUUUCUUCUGGACACCGAAGGAGGCUUGGACUUUGGAGGCCUUUGCUGGCGUCUCGCCAGCUCCUCUCAAAUGAAUUAGCGGGGUCCUCUUUGCCGAUCCUCGACAUGUGAUAAGAUGUUUCCAUGUCUUGGUUUUUGGCUCUGUUGCCUUUGGGACCCGCUUCUAACCGUCUCAUCGAGACAACGUUUGAGCUCGUCUCCCUUCUCGGGAAACUCUCUCAGACCCACGAACCCUUGACCUCAAAUCGGGUGAGACUACCCGCUGAACUUAAGCAUAUCAAUAAGCGGAGGAAAAGAAACUAACAAGGAUUCCCCUAGUAACUGCGAGUGAAGCGGGAAAAGCUCAAAUUUAAAAUCUG
rnacentral:rRNA from 1 species